AAUGAACGUUGGCGGCGUGGAUUAGGCAUGCAAGUCGAGCGGUAGGGGUUCCCUCACCUCACCCUCUCCAUUGGGAGAGGGCCGGGGUGAGGGGACUCUGAGAGCGGCGAAAGGGAGAGUAAUACGUAGUUACGUACCCCGAGGACCGGAAUAGCCACGGGAAACUGUGGGUAAUGCCGGAUAAUAUCUUCGGAUCAAAGGUGUGAUUCCGCCCUGGGAGCGGACUGCGUUGUACUAGCUUGUUGGUGGGGUAAUGGCCUACCAAGGCGAUGAUGCAUAGCGGGUGUGAGAGUAUGGCCCGCCUCACUGGGACUGAGACACUGCCCAGACACCUACGGGUGGCAG
rnacentral:rRNA from 1 species